rnacentral:rRNA from 1 species
CUACGUGCCAGCAGCCGCGGUAAUACAGAGGGUGCAAGCGUUAAUCGGAAUUACUGGGCGUAAAGCGAGCGUAGGUGGUCAUUUAAGUCAGAUGUGAAAUCCCCGGGCUUAACCUGGGAACUGCAUCUGAUACUGGGUGACUAGAGUAGGUGAGAGGGAAGCAGAAUUCCAGGUGUAGCGGUGAAAUGCGUAGAGAUCUGGAGGAAUACCGAUGGCGAAGGCAGCUUCCUGGCAUCAUACUGACACUGAGGUUCGAAAGCGUGGGUAGCAAACAGGAUUAGAUACCCUGGUAGUCCACGCCGUAAACGAUGUCUACCAGUCGUUGGGUCUCUUGAAGACUUAGUGACGCAGUUAACGCGAUAAGUAGACCGCCUGGGGAGUACGGCCGCAAGGUUAAAACUCAAAUGAAUUGACGGGGGCCCGCACAAGCGGUGGAGCAUGUGGUUUAAUUCGAUGCAACGCGAAGAACCUUACC